rnacentral:rRNA from 2 species
AGGUGCGAACAUACCAACACUCAUGCACUAGAUCCCAUCAGAGCUCCGCAGUUAAGCGUGCGUGGGUGAGAGUAGUACUAGGAUGGGUGACCUCCUGGGAAGUCCUCGUUUUGCAUCUA